CAUCAGUACAGGGACAAAGUGGAGUCGCAAUUCAAUGGCUCAGACAUGAGACGCAUGUGGCAGGGACUCCACAUAAUCAUGGAUUGUAAAGGGAAAGCCAGCCAUGUCGUGAACACUGAUGCCUCGCUCCCGGACAAGCUAAAACACCUGUUCUCCUUCAAGAAAAACAACACGUGGACCCCAGCCGCUAACGACGACUGUGUGCUCCCGAUCUCUGUGGCCCACGUGAGUAAAACAUUCAAGCAUGUUAACUCUCGCAAGGCUGCCCGGACCAGACGGCAUUCCAAGUCACAUCCUCAGAGCAUGUGCAGACCAGCUAGCUUGAGUGUUUACUGACAUAUUCAAUCUCUCCCUAUCCCAGUCUGUUAGAAGCUAGUUAAGGAUCAUAUCCCCUCGACCUUAUCUGACACCCUAGACCCACUACAAUUUGCAUACUGCCCCAACAGACGACACAAUCGCCAUGGCUCUGCACACUGCCCUAUCCCACCUGGAUAAGAGUAACGGUGCUGUUCAUGGGAGGUCAAAGGAGCAAAGGUGCUCUGCACAGGUAGACUCCUAUCUGUGCACAUGUCUGACUGUCUGCAAUGCCAAUGACCCAGAGCUGGAAAGGAAUCGGUAUUGACCCAGAGCUGGAAAGGAAAGGUAUAAAUCGGACAAUGACCCGUCCAUGCACGAGCUGCAACUAUACAGUAAUAUUUGGACAGACUCAGUGUUACAGAGCGAUGCUGACGCGUCACAAAUCUGUGGAUUCAACUGCUGAUAUGCAAGCUGUCCACAACGUCAAAAACCAACUUUUGGAAGUUGAUUCUAAACUUUGAAAGAAAAUAGCCAAAGUCUGAGCCAUCUUUAUGUAUAGGUAUUCAGUGACAUCGCUUCAAAUCAAGGACUAGCCUACACCCAAGGAAUCUUCUAUCGUGGAUGGAAGGAUGGAACAAAGAGUCAUGUAAAUCGACAGCAAAACAUAGGCUCUCUUUCUAUCCCUCUCUGUCUGUCUGCCAGAUUGCUGAGGGGCAACAUAGUCAAUGUACUUGCUAGACUAAGUGAAGACUUUAGGUAAUGGCUAAUCAUGAUCAAUCUCCGUCUUUACAGUUCCUAAAACAUGUCAAUUACCUGAUGCAUGGCCUCUACAGCAGUCCUUGGCCACCCACUCAGUUAUUAGUGACCUAUUCUAUUCCUAUUCUAAUAUACGUUUGUAAAGCAAAUAAAAUCCUAUUUUAAACAUUUUUUUCACCCUUCUGUCCUGAUUCAACAGACACCUCCCUUGGUGAGUCAUGUACAUUUCCUCCCAUUUCUCUCUUACUCAUUCUCCCUGUCGCUCACUAAAACUCACACAGUGCACAGUUACAGAGAACAGGAAGAGAUUUGACAAUUACACCCCUUUCUAACAAUGUUUGUUGCAGCAAUGAUAUGAAAGACAACUUGUGAAAAAUAUAAUAUUUUAUUGUAUCUAGAUUUUCUCUUUAAACAUUAAAAUUAUAAUUAUCCAACUAGGCAAAUUUUUAUAUCCUCUUUCUUAAAAUGUUUCAGAUUGAUGAUCAAUUAAUUAAUGUCCCACUUCAAUAUAAAGGCACAGAGGUCCAAACAUUCCAUUGCAGUUGAUCUGACCCAUGACACCACUCUUCAAGAGGGCCACUAUGCUCCAGAUCGCCUUCUGUGCUCAGAGGUCCUUGAUGAGGAUCUACUCAAUCACACCAUUCUAAUUAGU
rnacentral:lncRNA from 1 species